UGGGGAAUUGUUCGCAAUGGGCGCAAGCCUGACGACGCAACGCCGCGUGGAGGAUGAAGACCUUCGGGUCGUAAACUCCUUUCGAUCGAGACGAAUGGAUCUUGGGUUAACAGCCGAAGGUAAUGACGGUACCGAGAGAAGAAGCCCCGGCUAACUCCGUGCCAGCAGCCGCGGUAAUACGGGGGGGGCAAGCGUUGUUCGGAAUUACUGGGCGUAAAGGGCUCGUAGGUGGCCAACUAAGUCAGACGUGAAAUCCCUCGGCUUAACCGGGGAACUGCGUCUGAUACUGGAUGGCUUGAGUUCGGGAGAGGGAUGCGGAAUUCCAGGUGUAGCGGUGAAAUGCGUAGAUAUCUGGAGGAACACCGGUGGCGAAGGCGGCAUCCUGGACCGACACUGACACUGAGGAGCGAAAGCCAGGGGAGCAAACGG
rnacentral:rRNA from 1 species